CCUACUGAGACUACAGGCAGGAAAAGCCUGGAAUGACCUGAAGAGAUAGUAAAAUGGAUGGACUCUGUUUUGGGACUCUGCUUUUUAUUUUGGCACUUUAUUUAUGUGACUAAACUUGGACUCAUGAGAACGGAAGAUCUCAUUUUGAAGCUCAGACACCAAAACACCACAACAAAGGCAAAGGGCUUGGUCUUUUCAGAUGGGCCAAAAUCAAAAGCUUCAAACUGAGGAGCAGAAUGAAACUGAUAUCCAGGGUUACAGAAAUCAGAAGUCUCAUGAACACAAGCUAAAAAAAUAUAGGCACAAAAGAGCUUUAUUUAUGAUUAUACCCAGAAACAUGCCAAGAAUACAC